rnacentral:rRNA from 1 species
GACGAACGCUGGCGGCGUGCCUAAUACAUGCAAGUAGGACGCAGUUGCGAACGGGUGAGUAACGCGUAGGUAACUACCUAUUAGAGGGGGAUAACUAUUGGAAACGAUAGCUAAUACCGCAUACUAGUAGAUGGACCUGCUUUGUAUUAGCUAGUAGGUAGGGUAAUGGCCUACCUAGGCAACGAUACAUAGCCGACCUGAGAGGGUGGUCAGCCACAGUGGGACUGAGACACGGCACAGACUCCUACGGUAGGCAGCAGGGGGGAAUCUUCGGCGAUGGGGAGAACCGUGAACGAGCAAAGCAGCGGGAGUGAAGAAGGGUGUCGGAUCGGAAAGAUCUGUUGUUAAGGCAGCGGUACUAAACCAGAAAGGGACGGCUAACUACGUGCCAGCAGCCGCGGUAAUAC